AGCAGUGUGGCUUAGUGGAAAGAGCCUGGGCUUGGGAGUCAGAGGUCUUGGUUCUAAUCCUGGUUCUGCCA
rnacentral:tRNA from 1 species